rnacentral:rRNA from 1 species
UGCGCAGGCGGCCUGGUAAGUCAGGGGUGAAAUAUGACGGCUCAACCGUCAAACUGCCCCUGAAACUGUCAGGCUUGAGUUCGAGAGAGGUAGGUGGAAUUCCAGGUGUAGCGGUGAAAUGCGUAAAUAUCUGGAGGAACACCGGUGGCGAAGGCGGCCUACUGGCUCGAUACUGACGCUCAGGCACGAAAGCAUGGGGAGCGAACAGGAUUAGAUACCCUGGUAGUCC